AUUGAACGCUGGCGGCAGGCUUAACACAUGCAAGUCGAGCGGAGCGAGGGUGCUUGCACCUUAGCUUAGCGGCGGACGGGUGAGUAAUGCUUAGGAAUCUGCCUAUUAGUGGGGGACAACAUUCCGAAAGGAAUGCUAAUACCGCAUACGCCCUACGGGGGAAAGCAGGGGAUCUUCGGACCUUGCGCUAAUAGAUGAGCCUAAGUCGGAUUAGCUAGUUGGUGGGGUAAAGGCCUACCCAGGCGACGAUCUGUAGCGGGUCUGAGAGGAUGAUCCGCCACACUGGGACUGAGAAACGGCCCAGACUCCUACGGGAGGCAUCAGUGGGGAAUAUUGGACAAUGGGCGGAAGCCUGAUCCAGCCAUGCCGCGUGUGUGAAGAAGGCCUUCUGGUUGUAAAGCACUUUAAGCGAGGAGGAGGCUCUUAAGGUUAAUACCCUUGAUGAGUGGACGUUACUCGCAGAAUAAGCACCGGCUAACUCUGUGCCAGCCGCCGCCGUAAUAC
rnacentral:rRNA from 1 species